rnacentral:rRNA from 1 species
UACAUGGGGUGCAAACGUUGCUCGGAAUUAUUGGGCGUAAAGCGCACGUAGGCGGUUCGUUAAGUCGGAUGUGAAAGCCCUCGGCUCAACUGAGGAAGUGCACCCGAAACUGGCGAGCUUGAGUACGAAAGAGGAUCGCGGAAUUCCCAGUGUAGAGGUGAAAUUCGUAGAUAUUGGGAAGAACACCGGUGGCGAAGGCGGCUCACUGGCUCGUUACUGACGCUCAGGCGCGACAGCGUGGGGAUCAAACAGG